GUAGUAGCUGAGUGGUUGAGCAUUUUAUUGCCAUGCAGAACUUCAUGGAAGGUCCUAUGUUCAAUUCCUAGCAUCUCCU